UACGGAGGAUCCAAGCGUUAUCCGGAAUCAUUGGGUUUAAAGGGUUCGUAGGCGGUUUGGUAAGUCAGUGGUGAAAGCCCAUCGCUCAACGGUGGAACGGCCAUUGAUACUGCCAGACUUGAAUUAUUAGGAAGUAACUAGAAUAUGUAGUGUAGCGGUGAAAUGCUUAGAGAUUACAUGGAAUACCAAUUGCGAAGGCAGGUUACUACUAAUGGAUUGACGCUGAUGGACGAAAGCGUGGGUAGCGAACAGG
rnacentral:rRNA from 1 species